AUAAAUGAAACCAACUUGACCCCUCAAUGAAAUGUGGGAAGGGAACAGCUUUCAUUUAUUUUUUUAUUUGUAGUUUUGGAUCUCUAUAUUUAAUUUGAUUCAUUUUUGUAAACUGCAGAAAUGUGGGGGAGAGAUUUCUUAAAGUCGGUAAAAUUAAAGUUAAUUCUGUGCAUGUCUUUCAUACCAGACUCUAAGUUCAAAAAAGGUGCCAUGGCCAAAACACUUUGUAUUCCCUUCUCUGAACUAUUAUACUUCCUACCACCUAGGAGAGACUUAAUAAUAUCUGCAAAAUGAAUGAACAUAAAUAAGACCAAUAAUAUCAUCCAUGUCCACAAAGGUGAAACAAUCAUAGGCAAUAAGUUAUUAAAAAAGACUGCCCAUAAAACAGCAUUUCCCAUAUUUUAAGGAAGAUAGUUUCAUGAAUUACUCUUUUCUUAGAAGAAUUCUGUGAUGAAAUUAAGUAGGGCCACAAGGCAAUCCAUAGUCCUGGCAAGUAAAAGUGUCAAAGAGAUGCUGAAAUGACCUGCUGUUAAUAAAC
rnacentral:lncRNA from 1 species